AUCGUUUCUGACAGUUUGCUCUCUUUACGUUUUGCAGGAUGCUUCAUCAGCAGAUAUUCGGAAAGCAUAUAGGAAGCUUUCACUGAUUUUACACCCAGACAAGAACAAAGAUGAAAAUGCAGAAACACAGUUUAGGCAAUUGGUGGCUAUCUAUGAGAUUUUAAAGGAUGAAGAAAGAAGGAAGAGUUUGCUGACCGCUACGUGUCAGAGAUAACGGGUAAGCAUAUCCGGUGCAGAAGAUUUGUUGUGUUUUGUCUGCAUAGGUCUGAGAAAAAGUACUGCAGAUACAGUUUUUCUUUUCAAUUUGAUUUUUCUUGCCAAGAGUAGCAAUUAAUAUACGUCACCAAAAGAAGAAUGCUUUGUAAUUCAAUUAUGAGUGUAGUUCUACACACGGAUUAGCUGACUAUCCUCCAUAGUUAAUAUAGAUUUCUAUACAUAAAUCAUUUAAUGAAAAACCUGCUUUUAAUUAAACCACAUCCUAAAUUUGGAAAGGAAGAUUUAAAAAUUAAGGGAAGCUUCUGAGUUUCAGUGGGAUCAUUUUCCAGUUGAAAACUUAAAUAUCAUUGGUAUCCUUAUUUUUUAAAUACAGAGCUUAAUUACUAUUGAAAGCAGUGAUUUAUCUUUUAACAGUAUAUAUUCUAAAAAGUGGGUUAUAAUAGAAGCUAUCUUCCCUUAAAAUGGCCAGUCGUGUGAGCCAUAAUGCUCAUUGAUAGUAAAAUCAAUAGAGCAUUGAUUCUGAGACUUAAUCCUUGGAGACUGUUGUUCCGAACAGCGGACAUAGCCUAGUAAAUACAGAGUGCUGUUUAAAGUGUUUAAUGCAAGAGACUCUGCUGUCUUAAUUUAUUUUUCUUAACAGAUAAUUUAUAAUAGAAUGCGGUUGUCAAACAUUUUUUCCCAGCCCUGUUUUGACUAUUAUGAGAUUGUAACCAUUAGCGUAUAUGGACACUAUUUAAAUCUGUGGGCAAAUUUUUCAGUGUCUCAAUUAACAUUUCCUAUUGUACAAGGAAACAAAUGCUUAAUAAAUUUAUAGUAGUAUUAAAGCAAUUUGUUUUUUUCUCAAUUUUGAAUAUUUAUUUCUCUGAAGCUGUCAAUGGCAGAACAUAUUUUGUGGAGACAUAUCAGUCUAAUUUUAAAAAGAGGUUUUGGUUCUAAAAUAUGUGGUUUUUAUUCUAGAAUAAAAGUAUGGAAUGUUUUAGCAAAUAAAUUAUUAUUUUUAAAUGCUAAAACAUUACUACAUUCUUCAAAAAUAAGUUUUAGUUUUGAAAUUGCUUGCUAAGCAAUUUAUUUAAGCAGAGAGUUUGUGUUAAGGCAGUGGUAAUGAACUCUUCCUAACUUAUUAGGAAAGUAAAAAUGUUGUUACAACAAAAUUUAUGCUAAUAGAUAUUAAUCCUACUACUCUCAUCAUUGCCAAGGAAGAUACAAUUUUGCAAUACACGUUUUAUGUACUGGGAGCACUGUGGAAUCUCGCAGUGUUAAAUCUUUUGCACAGGAGCCUAGCAACGCUCGGCAGCUUGAGCAAAUGUUGUAUCCAAAGUCAGCUUUUCUGGAUGCACCAAAUUAAAGGAUAUUUUUUAUUUAGAACCACUGCUUCUUUUUCUGCUUAAAAAAAAAAAGAUUUGGCGGUGGAAAUUUUUUUUUAGUGCAUCUCCAAGGUAUCAAUUUAAUAACUAUCAAAGUAGCUAGUGCAGUUGUUGCAUUUAAAUUGAUUUACAUGUCAAGACUGGCAGUUUAGCAGCUGCGCUAUUAUUCCUGGAUCGGUCAAUUUACUUGAGAAAAACCUACUACUGAGUUCUACUGACCUGCAUGACAAUAUAGGCCCUAUUUCUAUUCCUGUAAUUAGGCCCGCUACUAACUCAGAAUAUUUUUAAUUAAAAUAUUUUGGUCAAUGUGUUGCACCAAAUUAGGCCUUUCAGCACAGAUUUAAUUCUGGAAACGGUGUGAUUAGAAUGUGUAAUGAGUUGCACUCAGUUCCAGAUGAACAGGUUGUGCAUCGCCAGCGCAUUCAGGUUGUGGCGUUUACUGUAGGGGUCUGUGUUGGAAACUUUGCUCUGAGGAGGUAAGGAAUGGCACGAGGGCGGUCGUGGACGGCUGCGCCCCAUCUUCGGCACAGCCGUGGCGUCGGCGCACCGUAAUUAAAAGAUGCUGCAGGCAUACAGAGAUGACUCGAGACUUUCGUUAGGAGGAAAGCUGACGAGUCAUCGUAAAAAGGGUUCCCGCAGAGACGGCAGGGUUAGCAAAAUUAAGCGGCGUUAGAACAGAUCGAUUUCGGAGGCGGCUUCUCAAGCAGCGAGCGAGGCGAGGCCGCGCUGCGCGUAGCUGGGUGGCCCCGCGCUCAGGCCGCGCUUUCCUGA